AUGAGAUUUAGUCUUUCUUAUUAUAUUUAUAUCUGACAAACAAGAUUCUAAUUGUAUAAGGACACCGUUUACUAGAAUUCACAAAAACAGCCCCUGAAUAUAAAAGGGAGAGAGCUUUGGUUCUCUUUAUAUAAUUCUAAUUUGUAUAAGUGAACUAGUUAAGUAAUGUUGGAAUUCAUUGACAUUAAGAAAGAGAUUUACAUUUUUAUUGUUUUUUGUUCUACCAGAAACUGAUAUAAGUUUUUUCUUUAUUUAUUAGAGGCACAACAAUAAGCAACACAUAAAGAAAUGUACCGGUACAUUCUAAAAAUGCUACACUUUUUUUUUUUUUUUUACUUUUUCUGUGUAUAUUGAACAAGCUAAUUUGAGUAAAGCGAGAAUGAGCUUUAUGUGCGAAGCAACUAGCCGUGAGCAUGUCAGCCACAUAAAGACAUGAGAACGUAAAUUAUCAAAAUUUCCAGGACAUGUCUUGAUUGGUUUUCUUCAUAUGGCCAGGGUUGUCUUAGCAUGACACCACUGUCAUCACACCUUGUUUUGCAGACUGGGAGUAAUUCAAACUGAAUCUCAAUAUUUAAUUUUUCUAAUGCUGUAAUACAUAAAUAUGGGAUGUCCAAUAUUUUGUCCUCCACUGAUAACAAGUACAGAAGAAGCGUUAGUUUUAAACGCACACUUUAUUAAAUAAAAUUAUAUUUAGGGAUAAAGUUACCACUUGGUACACAACAAAAUGGUCCAACAUUAGAUUGGGACUGAGCAACCUAUACCUUCCAUAUCUACUUCAUAGUCAUCUUCUAAAAUUUCUGAAGAUGUUUCUGUAAUUCCAUUAUAAACAUGAAUUAUUAGUCUUCACGUUGAUCAUAUUGAUAUAAGAUAUUUUUUUCCUGCUAAACUAUCAGGGUUACUGACAAAACUGCAAAUUAUAUUAAAUUACAUUUGCAAAACCAACGCUACAUUUGUAAAUGUUAUCAUACGGGUUUAAUUUGCUAAAAUUGUGAGUUUAGAAAAAAAAAGCAUGAUACGUUGACUGCAAAGGUAAGAAAACCUUAGUAGACCAGGAAACAUUUUUAUUUAAAAAGCUCCAAUAUUUGUUCGUCCUAAUUCCUCACCCUCUUCUAGGGUUUUAUCAUCUUUUUCUCCCUCCCUGAUUCCAUUUUUUAAAACAAAACUUUGUAUUAGAGCGUACUAGAAUGUUUAUUGACAAUCAUAUAGUUUUCUACUUGCAUAAUCUGCAUUUAUGCUAAAAUACAAUAAAAUAAAAGUUGAGCC